rnacentral:misc_RNA from 1 species
ACGGACCAGUCCCGUCUCGUCGCUGCCCGCGUUCAAACCGACAGGGACUGGGUGUAGUUCUGCCCUCGCCGCCGAUCCCGACGCAGUGGCCGAAUCUGGUUGUUUUUUUUCUUUUGAGCCCGUUUCAAUUCCCAGUGCCGGAGUGAAUUAUGUGGUGCAGUGGCCGCCUCAAAUAGUCUGAGUUCGGAACCCGAAUCGUCUCGCCGCAUCUCCGCCCUUCCAACAUGUUCCGCUGCAUUCCCAUUUUCAAAGGAUGUAAUCGCCAGGUCGAAUACGUUGACAAGCGUCACUGCUCCUUGCCCAACGUCCCGGAGGAUAUUCUCAGGUACUCGAGGAGCCUGGAGGAACUCCUCCUCGACGCCAACCACAUCCGGGAUCUCCCGAAGAAUUUCUUCCGUUUGCACCGCCUGAGGAAGUUAGGACUGAGCGAUAAUGAAAUACAACGGCUUCCACCGGACAUACAGAAUUUCGAAAGCCUCGUCGAACUCGACGUGUCCCGCAAUGACAUUCCGGACAUCCCCGAAAACAUCAAAAAUCUUCAGGCGCUUCAGGUGGCGGAUUUCAGUAGUAAUCCGAUCUCGAGGUUGCCACCGGGAUUUGUCCAUUUAAAAAAUCUAACAGUUCUAGGAUUGAACGAUAUGUCAUUAACAAAUCUACCACCUGAUUUUGGGUUAUUGACUAGUCUACAGUCAUUAGAACUGCGAGAGAACUUACUUAAGUCCCUCCCUGAGUCUCUAUCGCAGCUAUCAGCACUUGAAAGGCUUGAUUUAGGGGAUAAUGAAAUAGAAGAAUUGCCUCGUCACAUAGGGAAAUUACCUGCCCUUCAGGAACUGUGGUUGGACCAUAAUCAACUUCAGCAUUUACCAUCGGAAAUUGGCGAGUUAAAAUCUCUGACAUGCCUCGAUGUAUCUGAAAACAGACUGGAGGGCCUUCCUGAAGAAAUCGGUGGUCUUGAAAGCCUAACGGAUCUUCACUUAUCUCAGAACGUAAUCGAAACCCUGCCUGAUGGAUUGGGCAGCCUGAAGAAACUAUUGAUUUUAAAGGUGGAUCAAAACAGGUUAUCGAUACUUAACAGCAACAUAGGAAAAUGUGAAAAUUUACAAGAAUUAAUUUUGACGGAAAAUUUUCUUGUGGAACUUCCACUCUCCAUAGGAAAUCUAGUAAACUUGACAAAUCUGAAUGUAGACAGAAACAGCCUUCACAAUGUUCCACCAGAAAUUGGUAGGCUAGCCUCUUUAGGCGUCCUUUCGCUGCGGGACAACAAGCUCCAAUACAUUCCGUCUGAAAUUGGAAACUGCUCAUUACUUCACGUCCUUGACCUCUCUGGAAAUAGGUUGCAAUAUCUGCCAUUUUCGCUGACAAACUUGCAGUUAAAAGCUGUUUGGCUGUCUGAGAAUCAGGCUCAGCCACUGCUCACCUUCCAGACUGAGCACGAUGAAGCGAGUAAUGAACAGGUGCUCACAUGUUUCCUUCUCCCGCAACAAGAAUCUGCCCAGGACAACACUGCCGGGCGAGUGAACAAGGCUUUUGAAGUUGGAUUUGGAAUGUCAACAUUAGAUCCAGUUGAAAGCGAUGAAGAAGGAUGGGAGGAGAGAGAGGCAUCGAGGACCCAUUCUGUCAAGUUCACUGAGGAUGUCGAGACUGAACCAGGGAAGGAGUCAAGUUCAACUCCGUUUGUGAGGCAAAACACCCCCCACCCUAAAGAACUCAAAGCAAAGGCACACAAACUGUUUAAUAAAUCUAAAAUUAUUGACAGUAGAGAAUUGGCAGUUGAAGAACUGGAUGAAUCUACAAGAUCAUCAUCAUUUAGAAAUGAUCGCCUUAGUUCUACUGAUGUAGAUCCAAAUAGCGAACGUAGUUCUUAUUCAGAAAGCACAGCUAAAGAUGAAUUCAAAGAGGCUAUAAAUAACAAGAAAAAGGAGGAGGAAAUAGCGGCGAGCAACGAGAAACCUGCUAAUCCGGCCCCACCCGAAUUGAACAGCAGAAACGAAGUCGAUGCGGUUGUUGAUAUUAAUGAAGAGAGGUUGGAAAUAAAACUAGAGAAAACUUCAGCUGGUUUGGGCCUUUCUAUAGCCGGAGGAUUGGGUUCGACCCCGUUUAAAGGAGACGAUGAAGGAAUUUUUGUAUCUCGUGUCACUGAUGGUGGCCCAGCAGAUAUUGCUUGCCUUAAAGUCGGUGACAAGAUACUUUCUGUUAACGGGCACAAUAUGGUCGGUGCUGGUCACUAUGAGGCUGUAGAAGUUCUCAGGUCGGCUGGGCCUGUACUUAAUAUUGUGAUCAUCCGUGAUGUCUCUAGGUUAUUACCAUUGCAGAAGAAUUCAUCCCGUAUCGGUGAUUCAGUCCCAUCUAGUCUAAGCACGAGCAGACCACCCAGUUCAACAUCACAUUAUUCAGGAGUGACUUCAGUGUUUGAAGAGUAUCCACAGAACGGUCCAUUGCAUCAUCCAGUCGAUUCAAAGCUGGCUCAGCUCAAGAAAGAAAACUAUGAAAUUACUCAUCAACCUGUUUAUACAACAUUAAUAAGGGACCAUAAUGGACUUGGAUUUAGUAUAGCUGGAGGCAAAGGAUGUCCACCAUUUAGGGAAAAUUCAGAGUCAAUAUAUAUUUCAAGGAUAACAGAAGGUGGGGUAGCAGAAAAAGAUGGUAAACUUCAAGUUGGUGAUAGAAUUGUAUCUAUAAAUGGUGUGGAUCUGGAAGGUGCUCGGCAUGACCAGGCUGUGUCGAUGCUGACAGGUCUUGAGCGUUAUGUUAGGCUAGUUGCUGAAAGGGAAGUUAUUGUUCCGAAAGGGUCAACAACAGCUCCGACUCCUCCUCCUCCAGUUGAAAAAUCGCCAAAAUUAUUUCCUGUACCGAAACCGUAUACAUCUUUGUACAAUGCCAAUAGCCAUAUUGCGGGUGCAAGGCCUCCAAGUGUAAGGUCUAGUACGCCUCCGAACACCAACUCGACUUCUUCUGUUUCUUCACCACCUAAGCCAGCACCAAGAAGAAUAACAAGCCAGUCGUCUACUGAAUCAGACCCAGCCCCAAACACUGCUUCAACCGAGACCGGGUCGACGAUCAGAACGAAACCGAUCACAAAUGAAGAGUUCCAAGCGAUGAUCCCCGCACACUUCAUCGACGGUUCAAAAGGAGGAGACAGUGCGAAACCUAACGAUCCAACUACAGUAACACUCACGAUCAAAGCGCCAAACCCAAACAUGGCCAAUGGCAUCGAAUUCCCGGACACACCAACUUCAUUGGGCAAAGUCACUGAAACUAUUACGAAGAGUACUUUCACAGAGACGGUCGUCACUAGAGUCACUGACAAUAAACUGGCUGAAUCAGUUAUUAUUGAGGAAGUGACAUUAGCUAAAGAUGGAGGAUCCUUAGGGUUUAGCAUUAUCGGUGGGACAGACCAUUCUUGUACUCCAUUCGGAAAGAACGAACCGGGAAUAUUCAUAUCCCACAUUGUCGCGGGUGGGCGUGCAGCAAAUUCUGGUAAACUGAGGAUGGGCGAUAGAAUACUUAAAGUUAACAAAGAUGAUUUAACAAAAUGUAGGCACAACGAGGCAGUUAUGUCUCUUCUUCAACCAUCAAAUGAGAUAACAUUGACUGUCCAACACGAUCCUCUUCCAGAAGGCUUCCAAGACUUAACAAUAGUUAGGCAAGAUGGUGAGAAGCUCGGAAUGCAUAUAAAAGGUGGUUUACGGGGCCACAGGGGCAAUCCACUGGAUAAGACUGAUGAAGGAGUUUUCAUAUCGAAGAUAAACUCUGGUGGUGCUGCAAAAAGGGACGGAAGGCUUAAAGUAGGCAUGAGACUACUUGAAGUCAACGGCUUCUCCCUGCUAGGUGCUACUCAUCAAGAAUCAGUGAAUUCAUUAAGGAACGCAGGCCAGUCAAUUCGUCUAGUCGUCUGUAAAGGAUAUGACAAGGCCGAAGUCGACAAACUGUUAGCUGAAGGAAAGUUGACAAAGGAAAACAAAUCUGCAUCACAGAGUGUUUCUAGCCUUGAUCGAGAAGAUCAUGACAGUGAUACAAUAAGACAGGAACAACAGAUGAAACAAGAACUAGUUGCAUGGGAAAAAGAAGAGGAAAGGAAAAAAGAAAAGGAUGUUCAAAUGGAUGUUGAACAUGUUAAAGAUAAAUCUACACCAGAAAAAGUAAUGGAAGUGGUUCGAGCAGUUGAAAUACUAGCCAAUACUAAUGAAUCUAACCAGCCAAGUAAGCCAAAGUCUCCUGGUGGUCCUAAGUCAACAGACAGUCUCAAGACGACCACGAUAGUCAUGAGCAAGCAUACACUUGCUCCUCAAAGCGAGAAUAAUCAGCCAGAUUUUGUUCAAAUCGACGUUGAUAGAGACAGAGAGAGGAAUGAAACUGAUGAAUUGGUGCAUGUUUUUGAUAAGCAUGAUCCUUUUCUAAGUAGAAAGUCGACUCAGUUAAAGGAUGCGGAUGCUUUGCAUAGGACUGAAGAACCUAAUUUGAAAUCUCCAUGUAGAGAUACAUCCGUCAAAGCAACAUCAUUGGACAGGGAAGCACAAAAGAAAUUCCCAUCGGAUUCAAACCCUUCUUAUUCAAGGGUCUACAAACCUGAAGAGUUUAAUUUAAACAAACCUUUUGAAUAUGAUUCACGACAAAAUUCUUAUACUGAAUACAAAGAAAAAAAGCCUUCUUGGGACUAUGAAAGCAGGGAAUCGUUUAGUUCUCUUGACAGAGACGAUCGAUUUUAUGUUGGUUCUUCAGAGAAAGCGGGCAGUUCAAAAGACUUUAUUGAAGGAGAUAAAUAUUCUGAUGCUAUAUCAUCUUGUUUAAAAGAUUCUAGCAAAAUAGCAAACACGCCUGCACAUUCUUCACAUGAGUUCUUUGAGAAAAGGAUUUUUUCAGAUAAAGUUGAAUAUUCAUCGUCAGAAAGUGAUACAAAUUCACUCCCAAGAAAAUACAAGCCCAUAUUGAAAUCGCCAAUAGGAAAAAGACAUUCUUAUCACUAUUCUGAAUUUGUUAACGAUAAAAAUCAAGAUGUGUUUAAUUGGGAUGUUGAUAAAUUACAUAGUCCUGUUUCUUACCCGAAGAGAGAUUAUUCAGAUGAUUCUUAUGACACAAGAUCCCUUUUAUUACAAACACAUCGUGCAAAACCAACUUUAGAGUUUAAAAGUGCAACACUUCCCCGUACCAAAAUCGUUAGGUUUAAUACAAAUAUCCAACAAGUCCAACUUCCAGUUGAUAAAAGUGAUGAAGAUGUUUUCUGGCCUUCUGAACCUGAAUCUGAGCCUUUGCCUUCACCUUCAAAAGUCACUACCGUCUUUAAGGAAGUACCUUCACCAUCAAAGGUAGAAGUCACAAAUAUUCAUCCACCCAUGACAAAUUCAAACCCGACAAUAUCCUGCAAUGUUUCUAUCCCUCUGCAUGUGAUUAAUAAUGAGCCUAGGCAAACGAACACAAAUCCUUUUAUUGACCCUAGGCAAGCAUUUUUUCGUAUGCCUCAGGCGUAUCAACACCACCCUAUAUAUCCUUAUUCUUAUGUUUACGCACCUCUACAACCACCAUUAGAAACAAAUUUUGGAUCCAUGCAACCCUUAUAUCAUCAGCUACCAGGACAAAAUUUUUCAUUUCCGAUGGUGCCGAUUUCUUCAAACCAAGUUCAGUUGGAAUUGUCCAAUUCUCAACACUAUAAUACACCGGUUAUGACAACUGUACCUCAAGAGACUCGGGCUGGGAGCGAUGGAAGUCCUAGUCCGAUUAGAUUGAAUACAAUACAGAAUAGCCAGCCAGAAAUUUCUGUCCCAAAAAAGGAAACAGACAAAAAUAUAGAUAAAGACAUGCCUCGUACUAUUGGCGAUGAAAAUGAAAAUCAUAGUACAUAUCCGACAACUGUUUGUAGUUGUCACAAUAGUGAAUUAUCUUCGACUUCUCUUGUCAAACAGGUCAUAGAGAAAGAAGAUAAGAGUAAAAAGUCAGACGCUGGUAUUUUCAGAUUCAGCCAAUUUCAAUCAUUGAGGAAUAAAUUUGAAACAAACAAUUCUCAAAAUAACAACACUUUUAUAAAAACGAACCCUUUCGCUGAAUCUGCUUACAAAUCAGAAGGCGCACACGACAAUGAGGAAAAGCUUCAACACCGUCAGCCUUUGGUUAAGAGUUGUCUACUUUCUAGAGAUGAAUCGCCUCCGCCGCCACCCGUCAAUUACGCAACGCUCCCUUCAACAAGUGAAAUUCCCAGUUGGCAAGAAAUAUUUCUGAGCACACCCCCUCUUCCUGGGCCAGAGGAUUUUGAUGAAAAUGCUAACUAACACACAAAUUUCCAAAACUAAAGAACUUUUGUGUGAAUAAACUUUUGAUCUGAAAAUAACUUGCAUGGACAUUCUUGUUUUUAGUUUUCUUUCUUUUUUUAAUACUUAAUAUAUUUAUUUACUACAUGUUACUUUACAUUUCGGUCUCUGCCUUAUUUUUUUUUCUUCGGGUGAACAAACUUUAUUCUUGUAGUAUUCUAUUAAAAUCAUUGAACUCUUGGAAAACAAUAUUGAGUGCUUUCAGACAGUUGGAACAGACAGUGUUUGAUAAACGAAAGACAACAAACAACGGGAGUGAAGCAAAAACUCCUGAACCCAAGGCUUCAGUCAGUGAUAAAAAGAAGUUUUUUGAGAAAGCUAUGGAAGAACAU